AGGCAGCAGUGGGGAAUAUUGCACAAUGGGGGAAACCCUGAUGCAGCAACGCCGCGUGAGUGAUGACGGCGUUCGGGUUGUAAAGCUCUGUCUUCAGGGACGAUAAUGACGGUACCUGAGGAGGAAGCCACGGCUAACUAC
rnacentral:rRNA from 1 species